GAUGAACGCUGGCGGCGUGCCUAAUACAUGCAAGUCGAGCGAACAGACGAGGAGCUUGCUCCUCUGACGUUAGCGGCGGACGGGUGAGUAACACGUGGAUAACCUACCUAUAAGACUGGGAUAACUUCGGGAAACCGGAGCUAAUACCGGAUAAUAUAUUGAACCGCAUGAUUCAAUAGUGAAAGACGGUUUUGCUGUCACUUAUAGAUGGAUCCGCGCCGCAUUAGCUAGUUGGUAAGGUAACGGCUUACCAAGGCAACGAUGCGUAGCCGACCUGAGAGGGUGAUCGGCCACACUGGAACUGGGACACGGUCCAGACUCCUGCGGGAGGCAGCAGUAGGGAAUCUUCCGCAAUGGGCGAAAGCUUGACGGAGCAACGCCGCGUGAGUGAUGAAGGUCUUCGGAUCGUAAAACUCUGUUAUUAGGGAAGAACAAAUGUGUAAGUAACUAUGCACGUCUUGACGGUACCUAAUCAGAAAGCCACGGCUAACUACGUG
rnacentral:rRNA from 1 species